rfam:Sarcophilus harrisii ctg7180002518246, whole genome shotgun sequence.
GAUUCCAUGGAGCAUAUGCUCUGGCUCUCUGGGGAUGGACAUGCGCUCUAUGGAAUCAC